rnacentral:rRNA from 1 species
CACGUAGGGGGCGAGCGUUGUCCGGAUUUAUUGGGCGUUAAAGAGCUCGUAGGCGGCUCGGUAAGUCGGGUGUGAAAUUUCGGAGGCUUAACCUCGAAACGCCACCCGAUACUGCUGUCGGCUAGAGUCCGGUAGGGGAGCGUGGAAUUCCUGGUGUGAGCGGUGAAAUGCGCAGAUAUCAGGAGGAACACCAGCGGCGAAGGCGGCGCCGUCUGGGCCGG